UACAGAGGGUGCGAGCGUUAAUCGGAAUUACUGGGCGUAAAGCGCACGUAGGCGGCUUGGCAUGUCGGGUGUGAAAUCCCCGGGCUCAACCUGGGAACUGCAUCCGAAACUGCCUUGCUAGAGUAUGGGAGAGGGAAGUGGAAUUUCCGGUGUAGCGAUGAAAUGCGUAGAUAUCGGAAGGAACAUCAGUGGCGAAGGCGACUUCCUGGACCAAUACUGACGCUCAGGUGCGAAAGCGUGGGGAGCAAACAGG
rnacentral:rRNA from 1 species